rnacentral:rRNA from 1 species
GACGAACCGUCCAAACGUUAUUCGGAAUCACUGGGCUUACAGAGUUCGUAGGCGGUCUGGAAAGUUGGGUGUGAAAUCCCUCGGCUCAACCGUGGAACUGCGCUUGAAACUACCAGACUCGAGGGAGAUAGAGGAAAGCGGAACUGAUGGUGGAGCGGUGAAAUGCGUUGAUAUCAUCAGGAACACCGGUGGCGAAGGCGGCUUUCUGGGUCUUACCUGACGCUGAGGAACGAAAGCCAGGGGAGCGAACGGG